UUCGUUCUUAUUGCGAAAUAGGAGCACUAUUUAUCAAUCUGUAUUAAAAGACGUGAGGAAACUCUGUCUUUUUUACAGACAAAAACUUUUGAGGCGAAAUACCCAAAAAGAAGUUUGUAAAAAAAAGAAAUCAUAUUUUAUAUUCAAGUGCCUUUAUGGUGCUUACUUGCGAAUGUGCCCAGGUUUAAGGUAAUCCUUUCCCCAGUUCUUCCUCUUUCAACUCUACCACUCGCCCCUCAUUUAGAAGAUAUAUUCUGAAAGGUACCGAAAAGCUUAGGGUUUUGAUUCGAUCAGCUCGCAAUCUCAUGGGUUCGACUGUCUUCAGCUUUCUGAAGAUCGCACUGCCAUCAAUGAAGAGGAACGGCCUCAUUUCUUGCGACUAUUCCAUUGAUCACACUGUUUCAUGUAAAUUAAAAUUUUUAAAAACCUUUUUUUGUUGUCUGAUGAAGCAAUGAGGAUCAGAGAAGCGAACCGCUCAGAUUCACGAUCCAGAGAAGCCAGUCGCUAGUGGCUUGGGAACAAAACUUUGAAUUUUGGAGUUUUUGGGAACAAAAAAUUAUCAGUUUUUGGUACACUUAAAAUGAGGUUUGCUCUAAUGAUUAGAAAAUCAUGUCAACCACGAAACAUUGAGAUCGAAACGAAACAAUGCGAUAUUAAGAAGCGCAGACAGUUGUAAAAGUCUGAAAAUUUCCCAAAAAUUAAUUUUGCCGUACUCAAAAAAUAGUGAUAACGACAUGGAAAGUGCUGGAAAACAACGAUUCAAUAUAAAGCGACAGAUAAGAUAAAUGAAGAACCAAUACGAGGGGGUCAAAGAACAGAAAAGAAUCAAAAAAUGUACCAAAUGCUAUCGAAUGCCUCGAGUGCAUCAAGGUAAAAUCGAUGAUAAAAUAGCAGUUUUUUCCAAAGUCCAAUAACUCGAAAACUUUUCAUAGCUAACAAACACGAUAAACCGGCCUUGUAGUGAUAAUGGCAGGCCCUCGAAGCUUUAGCGUUCUUCUGCUGGUGGCGGCGCACCUUGCCUUUGCUCAGGCU